rnacentral:rRNA from 1 species
AUUGAACGCUGGCGGCAGGCCUAACACAUGCAAGUCGAGCGAGCGGCGGACGGGUGAGGAAUGUAUGGGGACUGCCCGAUAGAGGGGGAUAACUACUGGAAACGGUGGCUAAUACCGCAUACUAUCGGAUAACCCAUAUGGGAUUAGCUAGUAGGUGGGGUAAAGGCUCACCUAGGCGACGAUCACUAGCUGGUCUGAGAGGAUGAUCAGCCACACGAGGACUGAGACACGGCCCAGACGCUGAGGGAGGACGCAGUGGGGAAUAUUGCACACUGGGCGCAAGCCUGAUGGAGCCAUGCCGCGUGUAUGAAGAAGGCCUUAGGGCUGUAAAGUACUGUCAGCGGGGAGGCGUUACCAGCAGAAGCAGCACCGGCUAACUCCGUGCCAGCAGCCGCGGUAAUUC